UGGGGAUGACGUCAAGUCAUCAUGGCCCUUACGGCCAGGGCUACACACGUGCUACAAUGGUCGGUACAAAGGGUUGCCAAGCCGCGAGGUGGAGCUAAUCCCAUAAAACCGAUCGUAGUCCGGAUCGCAGUCUGCAACUCGACUGCGUGAAGUCGGAAUCGCUAGUAAUCGUGAAUCAGAAUGUCACGGUGAAUACGUUCCCGGGCCUUGUACACACCGCCCGUCACACCAUGGGAGUGGGUUGCUCCAGAAGUAGCUAGUCUAACCGCAAGGGGGACGGUUACCACGGAGUGAUUCAUGACUGGGGUGAAGUCGUAACAAGGUAGCCGUAGGGGAACCUGCGGCUGGAUCACCUCCUUA
rnacentral:rRNA from 1 species